rnacentral:snoRNA from 1 species
AUUACCUCUAAGUGAUCAAGUGAAAAAUGCAAGAAUUUCAUAAGGAAU